rnacentral:misc_RNA from 1 species
CACGAAUGCCCCAAGCGUUAUCCGGAAUCACUGGGCGUACAGGGUCCGCAGGCGGCCAUAUUAGUCCGGCGUUAAAUCGUGAUGCUCAACAUCACGGCUGCGCUGGAAACGGUAUGGCUUGAGGAUGUGAGAGGUGUGUGGAACCGACGGUGUAGGGGUGAAAUCCGUUGAUAUCGUCGGGAACACCGAAAGCGAAAGCAGCACACUGGCACAUUCCUGACGCUCAUGGACGACAGCCAGGGUGGCGAACGGG